CGACGUGAGAAGUCGUUGUUUGGUGCCUGUGUGAGACUUGUUGGUGAGCUUUGGAGGGGGAAGGCUCGGCGUGCAGAGCUGUUACCUCUGCUCGCCUGAUCCCGUCUCUCGGCUUUUUAGUUUGCUCCCUCCAAGGAAGAGUUUGCGGGUGUGGAGCUGUACACCCCGAAUAGAGAGAGAACAGCACAGCUUCUUCCCCUGUGACCUUAUCGGCACCAGAAUCUAGGGGUUGUUCCUUGCCGAUUUGAUGUUCACAAGUAUUGCAGAUCCUGGAUGGGAACAUCUUGUGGUCUUUUGAGGAGAAGAACCAAGCAACGUGGUUUUUGUCUCAUCUCAACAGUGGUUGCAUUCUAGUGAAGAUUUGUAAGGUAUAACCUGGCAUAGAAGAUUGUAACAGAACAUUUGUGGUGUUCUCCGGCAUCCAAGUU